UCAUUUGUCAUGAAACAUAGAUUCAGAUCAAAUGCUUCAUGAAGCUUGGAACAAGACAAGGACUAGAAGAAUGAGAUAUGCACAGAAAGAAAAUGUAAAGCAAAAGUAAGAAGUACCCAAACAGAGGAAGGUGAAAGGAAUGGACCUGCCACACCCAAUUGCCACUAUGGCUGUGGAAUAUCUGCAGAAGGAGGUGACUAUUUGAAAAGUAACCAGAACUCUCCCAUAAGAUUAUGAGUGGAAUAAAUGCUUCUGUCAUUAUAUCAUCUCCAUUUAUGUCAUUAGUGGAGACGAAAGUGUUGACGAGUGUUUCGUCAUACAACCCUUUUUUUUUUUUUUCAUAAACAAAUAUGGACAAUUAACCAUCAGCUCUGAAAACGAAGUCACAGCUCCAAAACUCUCAUUCUAGCACUUCACUAAUGAUUUUUUUUUUUUUUUUUUUUUUUAACUCUGGGGAGAAGGCUAUUGAGUAGGGAGCAUCAGAAAGCAUCUGUAGAAAAAAAAUAAAAAAAAUUCUUGUGUUCUCUGUGAAACAUGUAAGCCUAUAACUCUUUCCACAGUUUCUCAUGCAGAAUUUCUCUGAACAAGAAGCAGAUAUCAUGUUAUUUUCUUAUUUACUAUGAGUGAUUUUUCAACCGCAGUGCAUCAAAUACAUCCCCAGAGGAACUACUCUCAUAUCAAAGUUACCCCCAUGUAAAUCUGAUGUAACAAGGUGAAAAGUUAGACCUUGUCAUUGAUAUAUCCACAACACAUCCCAGUCUUUAAUCAAGCAGGAGUGACACUUAAAAAUAGUUCAAGAGCUUAAAGAGUUUAGCUAUCUGUACAGCAGAGGGCAAGUAUUUAACUCCAGUGCUACAGCCCACCCACAGUAAAUGCAGACAAUUUUACUUUCAAAAUUAGGUAUUCAGUGCUCUAAGAUCUUAUGCAGAAAUAUUAUUUCCAUGAUCUUAUAAUAUUGAUGUAUUUUUAUAACAGUAUCUAUAUAAAUCAUUUUAGGUGGCAAGUAUCAUACAAGCACUGACUUGUAAUUCUCUUACCACAUUUGUGUUAUAGAAAUAAUCCCUGCUCUUUGACUGAAUAGCUCUAGACAAUGGAAAAGAAGAGUCAAGUCUUGUAAGAAAAUUAUGCACAUGGAGGUCAUUCAAUACGUUACUUUUUUCCAAGACCAAGCAGGCUGUAGGAUUCCUCAUGGACUCUGGCCACAAUUUACCUGAAUUUAUUAACAGUAUUUUUU